AGCGAACGCUGGCGGCAGGCCUAACACAUGCAAGUCGAGCGCCCAGCAAUGGGAGCGGCAGACGGGUGAGUAACGCGUGGGGAUGUGCCCAAUGGUACGGAAUAACCCAGGGAAACUUGGACUAAUACCGUAUGUGCCCUUCGGGGGAAAGAUUUAUCGCCAUUGGAUCAACCCGCGUCGGAUUAGCUAGUUGGUGAGGUAAAGGCUCACCAAGGCGACGAUCCGUAGCUGGUCUGAGAGGAUGAUCAGCCACACUGGGACUGAGACACGGCCCAGACUCCUACGGGAGGCAGCAGUGGGGAAUAUUGGACAAUGGGCGCAAGCCUGAUCCAGCCAUGCCGCGUGAGUGAUGAAGGCCUUAGGGUUGUAAAGCUCUUUCGCCGGUGAAGAUAAUGACGGUAACCGGAGAAGAAGCCCCGGCUAACUUCGUGCCAGCCGCCGCCGUAACAC
rnacentral:rRNA from 1 species